rnacentral:rRNA from 1 species
AUGAAGACAUGUAAGACGGUGUCCACGUGCACCCCACUUGAGGAGGCUCAAGGCACACAUAUGUUUGAUAUCUUGGGUUACAGCAAGCACAGGGGCAUGGGCCACGACCGCGACAGCUAUAUUCGGUCCGGGUUUUUCACCGUCGGCGGCCACAACUGGGCCAUCUCCUUCUUCCCUGAUGGUUUCAGUGGAUAUGGCCAAGAUUACAUCUCAGUUUAUCUCGUGCUUGUGAGCCACAGAACUAAAGUCCGGGCAUCCUGCGACAUGAGGCUGGUGGACCAGUACACCGGAUGCUCGUUUUCAGUGCAUAACAUAGGACCUAGGAUUUUCAAUCCCGCUGAUACUACUAGGGUUGCUCCACAGACUCCUUGUUUCAUAAGGCGGGACGAGAUCGAGGGAUCUGCAUACCUUAGGGAUGAUCGCCUCACGAUUGAAUGCGUUGUCACUGUCUUCAAGAAGCCACAUGUUAGUGAAACCAAACCGUUCCGCGUAAUCGACAUGCCACCAGCUGACAUGACUGAGCAUGUUGCCAAGCUGCUCGAAGAAAAGAAGGGAUUUGAUGUCAGUUUCAUUGUUGGAGGAGGGACCAUUGAAGCGCAUAGGUUUGUUCUCGCUAUGCAAUCGCCUGUUUUUAAAGCAGAGCUCUAUGGGUCAAUGCGGGAGGCAAGGCCGGGGCAGUGCAUAACCAUCAAGGACAUGUAA